AGUGAACGCUGGCGGUAGGCCUAACACAUGCAAGUCGAACGGCAGCACAGUAAGAGCUUGCUCUUACGGGUGGCGAGUGGCGGACGGGUGAGGAAUACAUCGGAAUCUACUCUUUCGCGGGGGAUAACGUAGGGAAACUUACGCUAAUACCGCAUACGACCUACGGGUGAAAGCAGGGGAUCUUCGGACCUUGCGCGAUUGAAUGAGCCGAUGUCGGAUUAGCUAGUUGGCGGGGUAAAGGCCCACCAAGGCGACGAUCCGUAGCUGGUCUGAGAGGAUGAUCGGCCACACUGGAACUGAGACACGGUCCAGACUCCUACGGGAGGCAGCAGUGGGGAAUAUUGGACAAUGGGCGCAAGCCUGAUCCAGCCAUACCGCGUGGGUGAAGAAGGCCUUCGGGUUGUAAAGCCCUUUUGUUGGGAAAGAAAAGCAGCAGGUUAAUACCCCGCUGUUCUGACGGUACCCAAAGAAUAAGCACCGGCUAACUUCGUG
rnacentral:rRNA from 1 species